CUCCCUCAGUUUCACAAUGUAAGUCAUUCUAGCAUUUCCCACAUUCAUAUUGAUGCUAAUGAAGUCUUCAUUAGCAUCAAUAUGAAUGUGGGAAAUGCUAGAAUGACUUACACUGUGAAACAGAGGAAGU
rnacentral:misc_RNA from 1 species